GCUUAUACAGUCAUACUUACAGCUAAUACUCACUUACUUUCAUUCUCAAAAUCACUUUUUUCCUUAGCCAACUUUAAAGAAUUUCCAUAAUUUUCUCUCUUUCUUUGUUCUCUGUUCAAAUGUAGUAACGAUUGAAUCGAGGAGGAAAAAGAAGAUCUUAAUUGCUCAAAAAACUCUUUGUUUUUUUUUUUUCUAAUUGGAGUUAAGUUUGACAGACGGUUGUGCGUAGAUUCGGAGUGCAACCUAAGUCCGAUGGCUACAACUUUCAGUCCGGGUCGGAGCCCGGGGGGUUCGAGGCUUCAGUUAGGAGCAGGCAGUGGAGUGUCGAGGCUUAGAUCUUCGUCGCUUAAGAAGCCACCGGAGCCGUUGCGUCGUGCGGUGGCAGAUUGUCUUUCGUCUUCUUCGCCGGCGGCGGUGGCUGGAGGAGUUAGCUCGCAUCACCAAGGGGGUCCUUUGGUUUUUACUGAAGCUUCGAGGACGCUUCGGGACUAUCUGGCAGCUCCCUCAACAACUGACCAGGCUUAUAUCGUUACUUUAGAGCAUACAAUUGCAGAGAGAGAACGCAGCCCAGCUGUGGUGGGAAGGUGCGUGGCACUCCUGAAGCGGUACCUUUUAAGAUAUAAGCCCAGUGAGGAGACGCUGCUGCAAAUAGAUCAGUUUUGUGUAAACUUAAUUGCUGAAUGUGACAUUAGUCUAAAUCGACGGUUGCCACCUUGGUCUCGAUCACUAAAUCAACAAUCUAUUUCAUCAACAUCAACAUCAUCUGCAAGUGCUUCGCCUUUGUUGCCUGUAUCUAGUUUUGCUUCUGCGGCACUUGUAAAAUCGUUAAAUUAUGUGAGAUCCCUAUUGGCUAAACAUAUUCCAAAGCGGUCAUUCCAGCCUGCAGCCUUUGCUGGAGCUACCUUGGCUUCAAGACAGUCGCUUCCUACACUUUCAUCUUUGUUGAGUAGAUCUUUCAAUUCCCAGCUAUGCCCUGUGAACGGUGGAGAAUCUUCAGAGAAGAAAGAUGCUACAAAUUUAUCUGUUUCAAACUUGUCGAACGUUGAGGAAGCUGAUGGAAUAGAGAAUCCUGAAUAUCUUGCACAUGAUGUCUUGAAAUGGCGCUGGCUUGGGGAUCAUCAGUCGUCAUUAUUGUAUUCUGAAAGCGAUCGGUCCGCGAAUAUUCAAGACAUGAGAACACAUAAUUUUGUAGAAGUAGGAGCUGCUGCUUUACUUGUUGGAGACAUGGAAGCUAAAAUGAAGGGUCAACCAUGGAAAUAUUUUGGCACAGCUGAUAUGCCUUAUCUUGAUCAACUCUUACAGCCCUCAUCAGUCACAACAAUUACCAAUUCUGCUGCAGCUCACUCCCACUUGAGAGCAAUAACAGCAUUAAAACGCAGUAAAGGAGGACCUCGUCAAAUAUGGGAUGAUUCUCCAGCAAGCAUGUUUCGCCCACGUGCCCGGCCACUUUUCCAGUACCGUCAUUACAGUGAACAACAACCUCUGCAAUUAAAUCCUGCUGAGGUAUCCGAGGUUAUUGCUGCUGUCUGCUCUGAGACAUCUUCCAGAAGUGCUAAUACCUUGACAGUAUCUUCUAGAUUAAGUUAUAACAGUGGAAAGCAGUCAAUGGAUGUGGCUGUGAGCGUCCUUAUUAAGCUGGUCAUUGACAUGUAUGUCUUGGAUUCUGGAGUUGCUGCUCCCCUUACUCUGUCUAUGCUUGAGGAAAUGCUUAGUUCUCCAAGAGCAGCUUGUAGGGUGCGUGCUUUUGAUUUAAUUAUAAACCUUGCAGUCCAUGCUCACUUGUUGGAGCCAAUGGUAAAUGAUGACAAAUCUGCAAUUGAAGAAGAGUAUGCUCAAGAAUUGCUUCUAAAUAGUGAAGAUCAGUUUACCAUGCAAGGGAUAAGAAAAAUAGAUUCUGCCAAGAAGUUGGGCAACUCCUCAGCCAUUGAUAAAUUUGAAUCUUGGAUUUUAAACAUUUUAUAUGAGAUGCUUCUUCUUCUUGUUCAGACUGUAGAGAAGGAAGAAUCUGUCUGGGCUUCUGCUCUAAGCUGCUUACUGUUUUUUGUCUGUGAUAGAGGCAAAAUCCGGAGAAAUCGAUUAAAAGGACUUGACAUUAGGGUUGUCAAGGCACUUGUAGAGACUAGCCGGUUUAAUUCCUGGGCUGAACUUGUUCACUGCAAGCUUAUUUCUAUCCUAACAAACAUGUUUUAUCAAGUACCUGAUGAAGCUACUACAUCCAUCAUAAGUGCUGCAAGCUUUCUUGUUGACCAGGUUGACCUGAUUGGAGGAAUUGAUUUCAUCUUCAUUGAGUAUUCAUUGGCAACCACAAGAGAAGAAAGAAAACAUCUAUAUUUGGUGCUGUUUGACUAUGUUUUGCAUCAAAUAAAUGAAACAUGCAUAUUGACAGGAGCUUCUGAAUAUAGUCAUGAUGAGAGUCAGCCCAUUGCUAUGCUGCUUGCUUUGGCUGAUGCACCUGAAGCUUUUUAUAUUUCAAUUAAGCUGGGGGUGGAAGGCAUUGGGGAGCUUUUGAGAAGAUCAAUUUCUGCUGCAUUGUCUAGAUACCCUAACAGUGAGCGAUUAAAUAUGCUGUUGGGAAAUAUUACAGAGAAAUUGGAUGCAAUAAUAAGUUCAUUUACUCAUUUGGACAAGGAGUUCUUGCAUCUGAAACAGAUAACUAAAUCCAACAAGUUCAUGGAUGAUAUUGAGGGUUCAUCUGUGCAAAAUGGUGCUGGAAUGAAAGCAAAGCUUGCUUGGACCAUAUUGCAUUCUCUUCUUCAUUCUGAUAGAAUCUCUUAUCGCCAAAAUGGAUAUAUCUGGUUGGGAGAUCUACUUAUUGCUGAAAUAAGUGAGUCAAGGAAUGGGAGUAUAUGGUCUAAUAUCAAGAGCUUGCAGAAUAAAAUUGCUUAUGCCGGUGCUCAUGAUUUCUGUGAUCAUUCUGACAUACCUUUGUCUAUUUGGCUGAUGUGUGGUCUUUUGAAGUCAAAAAACAACAAUAUUAGGUGGGGCUUCUUAUUUGUUCUGGAAAGGCUUCUCAUGCGGUGCAAGUUUUUGUUAGAUGAGAGUGAAAUGCAAAAGUCAAGCGAUACAGAUUUUAGCCCUGAUCAUAGUGAUUCCCGACUUGAGAAAGCAAAUGCGGUGAUUGACAUCAUGAGCCGUGCUUUGUCCUUGGUAGCUAUAAAUGAAACGGACCGCAUAAACAUUUUAAAGAUGUGUGACAUUCUAUUCUCUCAAUUGUGCUUGAAAGUUCCCCAUUCAACUGUGAUGCCAUUUGGUGAAGGAGUAAAACAACCUAAAGUUCUCACCCGCACAGAUGAAAUUAGAAAUACUAGUACUUAUGAGCGCUUACCUAAACAAGCAAGCUGUAGUUGGGACGAAUUGAUGGAAGAAACUGAUAGCAAAUCUGGCUACCACGGUAGUUCUCCAAUACAUGAGAUAGCUUCUAUGGCCGCAUCACUACUCCAAGGACAAGCCAUUGUGCCAAUGCAAUUAGUUGCACGUGUACCAGCUGCUCUGUUAUAUUGGCCUUUGAUUCAACUUGCAGGUGCUGCAACUGACAACAUUGCUCUAGGUGUUGCUGUUGGAAGCAAAGGAAGAGGGAACAUACCUGGUGCUACUUCUGAUAUUCGGGCCACCCUUCUUUUACUUCUAAUUGGUAAAUGUACUGCAGAUCCUAAAGCUUUUCAGGAUGUUGGUGGAGAAGAUUUUUUCAGGGCACUUUUGGAAGAUACUGAUUCCAGGGUGGCAUAUUACUCUUCAGCUUUCCUAUUGAAGAGAAUGAUGACCGAAAAACCAGAAAAGUACCAACACAUGCUACAGAAGCUUGUUUUUAAAGCUCAACAGAGUAACAAUGAAAAGCUGCUUGAGAAUCCAUAUCUUCAGAUGUGCGGGAUUUUUCAGCUGUCAAAUGAUCUUUAAGCUCAGUCGUAGUUGAUGAUUCUUUGCCAAUUUUAAUACACAUUCCUGCAUACUGCAGUGUUCAUUAACCCAACAUUCCUUACAUUUGGCCUGAUUUUUCGAGUCCAUUGUUGAUGCAUGUGAUUCUGUAACCUGCAUAAGACUGUCUGAAAUCAUAAGGUAGUUCAAAACUUAAAAGAGCAAAAUUUUCAAAUUUAGGCUAAGUGUGAGAAAUUCCAAGACUGGCUCCCUUACAAUUAAAGUUACAAGCUGUGAUCAGAUGUCAGAAAGACUUCGUACACUGCUACAUGUGCUCCUAGAUCUGCUAUAAAAGUAGAGAAGGAAUUCCCGGAAAAAAAAUGGAGUGACUGGAGCUAUUAGUUUCAUGGCAUUGAACACAUCUACAGUUAUUCAUGUACUUGACACAAAGCCGAAGAAUUUCUGGGCAACUAGAAGAAACUCCUCCUGGUUCAUAGUUAGAUUAUGCAUGGCCUUCCUUUUUAACUUCAUAUGGUUCAUGGUUGGCUACUUUUUGAAGGCCAUCCUUAGUGAUAAAAGAAAACCUCGACUUAACUCAGGAAGGCCUGUCAGCGGACAAAGGAUACUUAAUUUCCGUUAGAUGUAGGACUGAAUUUCGACCUUGAACGCUAUCCCAGUUGUAGUGAAGGUAUCACCUUGGAUGUCUGUUUUUAAGGGGCAUCUCCAUAGUAUACCUGUUAAGUGUUUUACAUAAUUUUGACAAUGUAAAUAUGUGAAUUUGGCUCUUAUUGUAAAAUUUGUUCUGGGAAUUUUGCUUCAUGUAUAAGUUUUGAUUGUUCCAUUCUAUGAGUUGUUUGUAUAAUAAUCUUCACUGCAAAUCAUUUGUGUAAAAUAUUUCC